UUGUUCUCUGACACCAUUUGCUCACCCUUCUCUUUAUUCCUCCUUAGCCUGAAGCUUUAUCACCAGGAAGGGCUGCGUUCUCUGAUCCAGUGACUUGCCCACUCUCUCACUUUUCUCCUUUUUCUGUUUCAGAGUCUUUCCUAAUCUCUUCCUCUCUCUGGGACACAGAGUCAUCUCUUUAAGGCACCUGGAUUUUAAGAGAGAGAGGAGAGAGGUGGAGAGGGAGAGAGAGAGAGAGAGAGAGCAAGAGGGAGAGGGAAUAAAAGAUGAAGGAAGGAAGGGAGAAAGGAAGGAGGGCAGGAAGGAGGAAGGAAGAGAUGAGUCGAGGGGAGGGGAGCCUUUCAUUCCAGGAACCUCAUUUCUCCUGUCUGCCAUAAACAUUCGCUGAGACCACGGAGCAUAUUGUUGGACCAUCUGCUUGAAUCAAGAGAAAGGAAAAACCGGGAGAAAAGACACAAACUACUCUCGGCAGUUGGAAAUAACAGAUCUGAAUUUAAAUCUAGGUUCUGCCCUUGCUGACUGAUUCAAGGCUUCCUGUGUAAAACAAGAAUAAUGAUGCCUACUUCACAAGGGAUGUUAAAAAAAAUGAUGAGCUAACUUCAAAGUAUCACGCAAAUGGUUCCUGCCAGUGGGAUCCUGGUUGGGAAGCGCGACUCCAUCCUCUGGGAAUCCGAAGGCGCGUUCGCUGGCUGGUUGUAUUGUGUUUGUCUGUCAUUGUGGGAAGAUUCCAAAAUGUGAUAUACCUAAGCCAACUAUACUAAAUAUUGACGUGUGCAGAGAAGAUAUAAGAAGAGAAACGGUGGGAAAAGGAGGAGAAUUUGGCUUCACAGAAGCAGUGAGCAUCGGCCUGGAGCCUAGUGACCUUGCCACAUGCCCUACUGCGGUGUUCAGAGAGCAGUUACGCUAGAGUUUCCGUAUGGACCAUUUAUCUGCAGAUUUGUAAUGUAAAUGCACAAAAGGCAUUUAAAUCUCAUAAAUAUCAUCUGUUUGGUAUAAAAUAAAUUAUUUCAUUCUUUCUCUAAUAGUUUCAAAAAAUAGAAGACUGUUGGAUAUAAAAUAUUAAUCUCAUUUUUAUUCCAUGCAUUUUUUAGUUUUUUAUGUUAUUUACAUACUUGAUUUUAAAUAAUAUUUAAAUGUUUUAAGGAUGAGUAAACUGAGAAGACAAAAAUUAUUGCUAUGAUAUGCAAUUUGUUUUGCUACUUUAACAGUUCCAUUUGACAAACCCAUCAAUUUAUGCAAGUGUAUGUGACUAAUAAGCACUUUAUGAAUUUAAGCAAAGAUUUGUCAUAAGUUGCUUAUGUGUAACUCAUAAAACUGCCAAAAAUAUUUGUAAAAUAUUUUAUCAAAAUA